rnacentral:rRNA from 1 species
UGCCUAAUACAUGCAAGUCGAGCGGAUCUUCAUUAGCUUGCUUUUGAAGAUCAGCGGCGGNCGGGUGAGUAACACGUGGGCAACCUGCCUGUAAGACUGGGAUAACUUCGGGAAACCGGAGCUAAUACCGGAUAAUCCUUUCCCUCACAUGAGGGAAAGCUGAAAGACGGNAUCUCGCUCUCMCUUACAGAUGGGCCCGCGGCGCAUUAGCUAGUUGGUGAGGUAACGGCUCACCAAGGCAACGAUGCGUANCCGACCUGARRGGGUGAUCGGCCACACUGGGACUGAAACACGGCCCAAACUCCUACGGGGGGCAGCAGUAGGGAAUCUUCCGCAAUGGACGAAAGUCUGACGGAACAACCCCGCGUGAACGAUGAAGGCCUUCGGGUCGUAAAGUUCUGUUGUCAGGGAAAAACAAGUACCGGAGUAACUGCCGGUACCUUGACGGUACCUGACCAGAAAGCCACGGCUAACUACGUGCCAGCAGCCGCGGUAAUACGUAGGUGGCAAGCGUUGUCCGGAAUUAUUGGGCGUAAAGCGCGCGCAGGCGGUUCCUUAAGUCUGAUG